GACGAACGCUGGCGGCGUGCCUAUACAUGCAAGUCGAGCGAAGUUUUUCUGGUGCUUGCACUAGAAAAACUUAGCGGCGAACGGGUGAGUAACACGUAAAGAACCUGCCUCAUAGACUGGGACAACUAUUGGAAACGAUAGCUAAUACCGGAUAACAGCAUUAACUGCAUGGUUAAUGUUUGAAAGUUGGUUUUGCUAACACUAUGAGAUGGCUUUGCGGUGCAUUAGCUAGUUGGUGGGGUAAAGGCCUACCAAGGCGACGAUGCAUAGCCGACCUGAGAGGGGUGAUCGGCCACACUGGGACUGAGACACGGGCCCAGACUCCUACGGGGAGGCAGCAGUAGGGAAUCUUCCGCAAUGGGCGAAAGCCUGACGGAGCAACGCCGCGUGAGUGAAGAAGGAUUUCGGUUCGUAAAGCUCUGUUGUUAGGGAAGAAUGAUUAUGUAGGAACUAUACAUAGUAGAGACGGUACCUAACCAGAAAGCCACGGCUAACUACGUGCCAGCAGCCGCGGUAAUACGUAGGGUGGCAAGCGUUGUCCGGAAUUAUGUGGGGCGUAAAGCGCGCGCGGGUGGUUUAAUAAGUCUGAUGUGAAAGCCCACGCUCAACCGUGGAGGGUCAUUGAAACUGUUAAACUUGAGGCAGAGAGAAAGUGGAAUUCCUAGCGUAGGGGUGAAAUGGGAAGAGAUAGGAGGACCACCAGGGGCGAAGCCGGCUUUUUGGCCUGUAACUACACUGAGCGCGAAGCGUGGGGAGCAAACAGGAUUUAGAUACCUUGGAGCCCAGGGCGAGUUCCACAGGGAAUUCAGCUUAUCGAUCCCGUCGACGUGAGAGGGAUGGCGGGGGACGGAAGAGG
rnacentral:rRNA from 1 species